UGUUGCCUGCCUUUCAAGAUGUAGGACUCUUAGCUCUGGCAUCAUGUCUGCCUGCAUGCUGCAUGUCCCACCAUGAUGAUAAUGGACUGAACCUCGGAAACUACAGUUGGAAGAUCUUAGAGCAAAGGUUGGUGUUAAUCCGGAAGCUGAGACUGGUGGGCAUAGACAGCACUGGAAUGCCAGCUGCUCAGGAGGCUGAGGGAUAAUCACAGGCUCGAGGUGUCAGUGAAAAGCAGCUCUCACCUCAAAGGAAGACACAGAUGUUUUAUUCUAGAGCCAAACACGAGAGAUACAGCCCAGAACAGAUUUGAGUUUCUCCAAAUACCACGUUCCAAUGAGGUAAUGAUUUCAUGAGCCUUUUAUAGUAACAAGACAAGGAAGAUCAUACAAUAAUACAUUAUACAAAUGCAUCCAUGUGCACACCUCAGGUAGGGGGUUACAGCAAAGUGGGAGGGACUCUGCUGUUGGCCUCAGAUGCUGUCUGGAAGCAGUCUUGGCCCUUUGGUUGGUGGAACUAGGGGUCUGUUCAUACGUUCCAAAGGCUCUGCCUAAUGGUCAUAAAAGAUGCUAGGUCAUGUACAGAGAACAAUAGACAGGGGCCAAGAUGGAUGGGCAGAAAUGAUAUCCAAAAACGUUGUUGUCUUACCAACCUCUUGUGCUCUACUCUUUGACUAUCACACUACUGAAAGAGUGGGUCCCAAGAAAGUAGAUUCCCCAGGGAUCUCUGGCUGGGAGGAACGGGGUCUGGGACACCCAGAGGAGGAACUUGUCUCCAGGACAAAGAUUGCAACUUGUUAGGUGAGCUUACUGGAAAGAUUUGGAGCUAAGGGAAACGGUGGCUGGGCUACCUAGUUAAACAUCUUUUUUUUUUUUUUUUUUUUUUUUGGUUUUUCAAGACAGGGUUUCUCUGUGGCUUUGGAGGCUGUCCUGGAACUAGCUCUUGUAGACCAGGCUGGUCUCGAACUCACAGAGCUGCCUCUGCCUCUGCCUCUGCCUCCCGAGUGUAAACAUCUUUCUUGCACUCCAGAGAUGAUAGGGUGGCGGGGUGGUCACUGGAUCCUCUUCCCUAAGUAGCCACAUUAAAUAAAUCUCCUUCUGCUUUUCCCUGUAGAGAGCAAAGAGCAUUAUCCACACAGAUAAGCACUGGAGAAGCCAGGAAAAUUAAACACGAAGCUCACCUCUUCAAAGGAAUGCGGUUCAAAGCUGCUCUUCCUGGAACGCUAGGAAUGAUGCCCUUUUAUUACCUGGUGAUCCCAGUGGCAACACUCGGGAGAGUAGGCCCUGCACCUUGCCAGGGCAGCACAAAAGAGCCAACAUGUUAGGCCAGGUGUAGGUGACCAUGGGAGAGCUGUCCUCAUUUCCCAUCUGUGGGACCAACCCUAGAGCUGUGCAGGCCCAGACCCAGGGUUAUGACUUGGCCUGCCCCAAUAUCCACCCCAUCUAUAGUCUGUGGGAGCACGUUAAGGGACCUGAUCUGCAGACCCAAAGCUGCAGGAUCUCCAUAUCACACAGUGGCAGAGUCCUGGUGGGGCCUUGAACCAGACCAAUGACUUUGCAAUGAACACUUGCAAGUAGAAAUGAAUGGACAAAGGGGUAUUCAGUGUGACUUGUUGGGUAGCACUACAGCUUCCAUGGUGAGAUUAUUAAUUCCUUCCUUUUAAAAUUCUUUCUUAUUUUAUUUUCUUCCUUUCAUUCUCUUGAAUUUUGUUUUACUCAGGGGUGGGGUGCAGGGGCAGAAGGUGGAUGAGAAGAGACAGGGAAUGAAUGGAAUCAAGAUACAUGAUUCGAAAAACAUAUGUAAUAAAGAAAUGUUUUUAAAAAUUAAAAAAAAAAAAACAGCUCGGAGGUUAAGAGCACUGACUGUUCUUCCUGAGGUCCUGAGUUCAAUUCCCAGCAACCACAUAGUAUCUCACAACCAUCCGUAAUGAGAUCUGGUGCCCUCUUCUGGUGUGCAGAUAUACAUGGAAGCAGAAUGUUGUAUACAUAAUAAAGAAAUAAAAUCUUUUAAAAAACUUUAAAAAAACAACUCACCAGUCU
ensembl:lncRNA